ACGCUCGACACCUACGGGAGGCGAGCAGGUCGGGAAUAUUGCGCAAUGGAGGAAACUCUGACGCAGUGACGCCGCGUGCAGGAAGAAGGUUUUCGGAUUGUAAACUGCUUUAGACAGGGAAGAAAAAGGACAGUACCUGUAGAAUAAGCUCCGGCUAACUACGUGCCAACAGCCGCGGUAAUCUGAGCGGGCUGGCAAGGC
rnacentral:rRNA from 1 species